rnacentral:rRNA from 1 species
GGAUUGAAGGCUGAAAUUCGCCUUCAUGAAGCUGGAAUUGCUAGUAAUGGCAGGUCAGCAUACUGCCGUGAAUACGUUCCCGGGCCUUGUACACACCGCCCGUCACACCAUGAGAGUUGGAAAUACCCGAAGUCUGUGAGCUAACAGUAAUGAGGCAGCAGUCGAAGGUAGAGCCAAUGAUUGGGGUGAAGUCGUAACAAGGUAAC